GGUGGCGUUGCGCAUCCGCCCUGCGCUUCGAGCGGGAGCGUUGUUGCUGCCUGUGUCUGUCCGGGUGCCCCGCGGUGCCCCGCGCCUCCGCCGGAGAGCCGUAACGGGAUAAAAACCUCGGUCGAGAGCCAGAGGCAGGGCUGCAGCGCCUCCCCUGCCGCGAGCCUGCUGCACCCUCUCAGAGCGGGGGGCAGCAACCGCUCCGCGGCUCGGUUCUGUAAGGCGCCACAGGCAGGGCCGCACCGCACGCGGUGCUGGUUAAGUAGGGAUAAAAACCCCSCAUGUUAUUUACAUUCUGCAAAUGGCCAUGUUUUGCCUAGGCUUGUGAGUUCCCUCUAAAGCACUUAGCCUGUUUUAGGACAAAACUUUUAAUCUCUUCUGAAGUCCGUAGAACCUGCACGGCUGUCCCUAGUGACUGUCUGGAUUCUAAAGAAGAAAAGCGCAACAUUCAGAAGCGGAUCAAAACUGUGGGACAUGGCGCAAGGAAAUAAUUACGGGCAAAGCAGCAACGGGGUGGCUGAUGAAUCCCCAAACAUGCUGGUGUACAGAAAGGAACAUGGCAGACGUGACCUGCAUGGAACCAAGCGGGGCUGGUUUAGUUUUGGAACGUUGAGUGUUGGAAGCUCUGUGGAGCUAGAAGAUGGCCAUUGUCUCACAAAAGCUUCAGUUUGUACAUGUCCAGCUCUGAAAUGCAGGGAAAGUGCAUCUGAAACUCAACUCUCAUUUCAAUCCAGAUUGACUUUAGAGGAAACUAUCCUUUUCUCCACUCAUGAUGGAAAGAAUUUAGGGAGCCUGCAUAAUGGGGAGUACUGGAUAGUAAAUACCUUGGUUAUUGCUGGGUGGGUGUGUUUCUCCUACCUCCCUCUUUCUAAGACAGACAAAUCAAAAUUCCCUCUUGCCCUCCAGAAAUUUCCCCUUAGCUCUUAUAAAUCUAAUUAUCUUCUCAAGCUUCUUCUUUCCAAGUAUAAUUAUGUCAAUUUAGAUAACUGUUAUCUUGGGUUCUUCUCCUCAGGCUCUCUGCUGUAUUCUCUCCCUUCAUUUCACUGAAAACAAAAUAUUACUUUUUUGAGGCCUCUUGAAAGGUGUUCAAUAACAGGCCACAGAGAUUUAAAAGAGAGAUAUGGUACAACUCUUAGUAAAUUUGAAAAAUCUGAUUAGCAAAACUGACUAGCUGGAAAAUCUUGACCUUAUGCAUAGAUUCGACCUUUUAAAUACCCUUACAUGAGCUGCUUUUAUGAGGAAGUAUUUUAACGUACACAGUCUCUAAUGAUCUUUAAAAAUAAUUUAAAAACAUCAUCCUCUGAAAGAGACAAUCAUGCAUAGUUUACAAUAAUUACACAGUUAGGUAAGUGAGAUCUCUGCAGCGUUGGAG
rnacentral:lncRNA from 1 species